AUGAGGGUCUGCCGUGGCGCCGUCGCGUGCGCCGCCCUCAUGCUCCUCUCCACCGCUGCAGCGCUGCGGUCCGACCCGAUCAGGCCGAGCACGAGCGGCGCGCCCAAGCUCCGCGCCUCCGCGGACGCCGCGCAUGCUAAUGCCACCUUCCGUAGCAAAGAGGAGGCCUUCGCCUGGGCCAAGAAGGACCACCGGAGGCUCCUCCACGUCGUCUACCGCGUCGGCGACAUCGACAGGACCAUCAAGUUCCAUACAGAGUGCCUGGGCAUGAAGCUGCUGAGGAAGCGCGACAUACCAGAAGAGAAGUACACCAAUGCCUUCCUCGGAUACGGCCGCGAGGACGCCCAUUUCGUUGUCGAGCUCACCUACAACUACGGGGUUGACAAGUAUGAUAUUGGGGCGGGGUUCGGUCAUUUCGGCAUCGCAACCGAUGAUGUGGCCAAAACGGUUGAAAUCAUAAGAGCAAAGGGAGGCAAGGUGACAGGGGAGUAUGGCACUGUCAAGGGUGGCAAGACCGUGAUCGCGUUCACCGAAGACCCUGACGGCUACAAGUUUGAGAUCCUUGAGAGGCCAGGGACUCGAGAGCCACUAUGCCAGGUGAUGCUUCGUGUCGGCGACCUCGACCGAUCCAUAAGCUUCUACGAGAAGGCUUAUGGUAUGGAACUACUCCGGAAGCGAGACAACCCUAGAAACAAGUAUACAGUGGCGGUGAUGGGGUACGGGCCCGAAGACCGGAAUGCGGUUCUGGAACUGACCUACAAGUAUGGCAUUGCUAAAUAUGACAAGGGGAAGGCCUAUGGUCAGAUGCGAUAG
rnacentral:rRNA from 1 species